rnacentral:rRNA from 1 species
GAUGAACGCUAGCGGCAGGCCUAACACAUGCAAGUCGAGGGGCAGCACAGGUAGCAAUACUGGGUGGCGACCGGCGGAUGGGUGCGUAACGCGUAUGCAACCUACCAUUGAUUGGGGCAUAGCCCGAAGAAAUUCGGAUUAAUACUCCAUAAUAUUCAUCAAAGGCAUCUUUUAUGAAUUAAAGCUUUUGCGAUCAAUGAUGGGCAUGCGUGACAUUAGUUAGUUGGUGAGGUAACGGCUCACCAAAACGAUGAUGUCUAGGGGUUCUGAGAGGAUUAUCCCCCACACUGGUACUGAGACACGGACCAGACUCCUACGGGAGGCAGCAGUGAGGAAUAUUGGGUCAAUGGACGCAAGUCUGAACCAGCCAUGCCGCGUGCAGGAUGACGGCCCUAUGGGUUGUAAACUGCUUUUCCACGGGAAGAACCCUCCGACGUGUCGGAGACUGACGGUACCGUGGGAAUAAGCAUCGGCUAACUCCGUG